UACGUAGGUGGCAAGAGUUAUCCGGAUUUACUGGGUGUAAAGGGCGUGUAGGCGGGACUGCAAGUCAGAUGUGAAAUUCCAGGGCUCAACCCUGGAACUGCAUUUGAAACUGUAGUUCUUGAGUGAUGGAGAGGCAGGCGGAAUUCCGUGUGUAGCGGUGAAAUGCGUAGAUAUACGGAGGAACACCAGUGGCGAAGGCGGCCUGCUGGACAUUAACUGACGCUGAGGCGCGAAAGCGUGGGGAGCAAACAGG
rnacentral:rRNA from 1 species